rnacentral:rRNA from 1 species
AGAGUUUGAUCCUGGCUCAGGAUGAACGCUGGCGGUAUGCUUAACACAUGCAAGUCGAACGGAGUGCUUCGGCACUUAGUGGCGGACGGGUGAGUAACGCGUGAGAAUCUGCCAAAAGGACUGGGACAACCACUGGAAACGGUGGCUAAUACCGGAUGAGCCGCAACGUAAAAGAGGAAACUCGCCUUUUGAGGAGCUCGCGUCUGAUUAGCUAGUUGGUGAGGUAAGAGCUCACCAAGGCAUCGAUCAGUAGCUGGUCUGAGAGGAUGAUCAGCCACACUGGGACUGAGACACGGCCCAGACUCCUACGGGAGGCAGCAGUGGGGAAUUUUCCGCAAUGGGCGAAAGCCUGACGGAGCAAGACCGCGUGAGGGAGGAAGGCUCUUGGGUUGUAAACCUCUUUUGUCAGGGAAGAACACAAUGACGGUACCUGAAGAAUCAGCAUCGGCUAACUCCGUGCCAGCAGCCGCGGUAAUACGGGGGAUGCAAGCGUUAUCCGGAAUUAUUGGGCGUAAAGCGUCCGCAGGUGGCUAAUCAAGUCUGCUGUCAAAGGUUGGGGCUUAACCCCAAAAAGGCAGUGGAAACUGAGAAGCUAGAGUGCAGUAGGGGUAGAGGGAAUUCCCGGUGUAGCGGUGAAAUGCGUAGAGAUCGGGAAGAACAUCGGUGGCGAAAGCGCUCUACUGGACUGCAACUGACACUCAGGGACGAAAGCUAGGGGAGCGAAUGGGAUUAGAUACCCCCGUAGUCC